UUACGGGAGGCAGCAGUGGGGAAUAUUGGUCAAUGGGCGAGAGCCUGAACCAGCCAUCCCGCGUGCAGGAUGACGGCCCUAUGGGUUGUAAACUGCUUUUCUGCUCCAAGAAACCUGAUUACGUGUAAUCAGUUGACGGUAGAGUAGGAAUAAGCAUCGGCUAACUCCGUGCCAGCAGCCGCGGUAAUACGGAGGAUGCAAGCGUUAUCCGGAUUCAUUGGGUUUAAAGGGUGCGCAGGUGGGAAUGUAAGUCAGUGGUGAAAUACUGCCGCUUAACGGUAGAGCUGCCAUUGAUACUGCGUUUCUUGAGUAUGGUUGAGGUAGGUGGAAUGUGUUGUGUAGCGGUGAAAUGCAUAGAUAUGACACAGAACGCCGAUUGCGAAGGCAACUUACUAAGCCAUUACUGACGCUGAGGCACGAAAGCGUGGGUAGCGAACAGGAUUAGAUACCCCGGUAGC
rnacentral:rRNA from 1 species